UUGGAGGGCAAGUCUGGUGCCAGCAGCCGCGGUAAUUCCAGCUCCAAUAGCGUAUAUUAAAGUUGUUGCAGUUAAAAAGCUCGUAGUUGAAUUUCAGGCCUGGCUGGACGGUCCGCCCUUCGGGUGAGUACUGUCUGUGGUCGGGUCCUACCUUCUGGCGAAGCGUCAUGGCCUUAACCGGCCGUGGCGGGGAACCAGGACUUUUACUGUGAAAAAAUUAGAGUGUUCAAAGCAGGCAAUCGCUUGGAUACAUUAGCAUGGAAUAAUGGAAUAGGACAAUGGUUCUAUUUGUUGGUUUCUAGGACCGUUGUAAUGAUUAAUAGGGAUAGUUGGGGGCAUUAGUAUUCAAUUGUCAGAGGUGAGAUUCUUGGAUUUAUUGAAGACUAACUACUGCGAAAGCAUUUGCCAAGGAUGUUUUCAUUAAUCAAGAACGAAAGUUAGGGGAUCGAAGACGAUCAGAUACCGUCGUAGUCUUAACCAUAAACUAUGCCGACUAGGAAUCGGGCGAUGUUGAAAAAAUGACGCGCUCGGCACCUUAUGGGAAACCAAAG
rnacentral:rRNA from 1 species